GACGAACGCUGGCGGCGUGCUUAACGCAUGCAAGUCGAACGGGAGUAUUGAAGAAGCUUGCUUUAGAGAUACUUUAGUGGCGGACGGGUGAGUAACGCGUGAGGAGCUGUCCUAUGCAGGGGGACAACAGCUGGAAACGGCUGCUAAUACCCCAUAAGCCGAGAGGUAAAAGGAUCAAUCCGGCAGAGGAGGUACUCGCGUCCUAUCAGCUAGUAGGUGAGGUAACGGCUCACCUAGGCGAAGACGGGUAGCCGGCCUGAGAGGGCGAACGGCCACACUGGAACUGAGAUACGGUCCAGACUCCUACGGGAGGCAGCAGUGGGGAAUAUUGGGCAAUGGGGGAAACCCUGACCCAGCGACGCCGCGUGGGUGAAGAAAUCCUUCGGGAUGUAAAGCCCUGUUGUAUGGGAAGAGCGGAAGACGGUACCAUACGAGGAAGCCCCGGCAAACUACGUG
rnacentral:rRNA from 1 species